rnacentral:rRNA from 1 species
UACAGAGGGCCCGAGCGUUGUUCGGAUUCAUUGGGCGUAAAGGGUGCGUAGGCGGCGGGGCAAGUCUGAUGUGAAAUCCCGGGGCUCAACCCCGGAACUGCAUUGGAUACUGCCUUGCUCGAGUACUGGAGAGGGAACUGGAAUUUACGGUGUAGCAGUGAAAUGCGUAGAGAUCGUAAGGAAGGCCAGUGGCGAAGGCGAGUUCCUGGACAGUUACUGACGCUGAGGCGCGAAGGCCAGGGGAGCAAACGGG